AUCCUCCAGAGUAGACAUCAACCUCAGUUAUGGCGUUAAAUCGAAAGGUCUUACCACAAUUGUACUACCAACUAUACAAUUUAAAUUCUACUUAUAAUAUAUAUUCGAAAUCUUCUAUGUUCAACAAGCAAAGCUCAAGUAUUAACUCAAAAGAACCACAAAGGUUCAGGCCCUAUAACACCUACACGCCUACAGCCACCAAUCUAAAGUCAAACUCUCUUCACUCACACACUCAAUCAAGAGAAACGGCCCAAGAAUCAACAACCCAAGAAGACAAAAGAGUAACCCUAAGAUGCCAAACCCUAAUAUAAAAGGUAAUUUUCUAAUCCCUAAGGCUCACUACUCGGCACCCACCAUUUCUCUCAAAGUUCAACAUUUUUUAAACUUUCUCUUCUUCUCAUCAAUAGCAGCACGAAAGAAAAAUUCCAGGGUUAAUGGUUCUAAUCGGUUUUGGUUUCUAAAGUUUGUAAUCGUCUUACUUACACUAACAGCCGCACCAGGGUAGACAUCAACCUCAGGGUUUCUGCAGAAAAAGAAAGAAGGAAGUAAGAAGAAGAAGAAAGAAGAAGAAAAAGAAAAAAAAAAAAGUAAAAAAAAAAUUAAUUUUUUUAAUUUUUUAAAUUAAGAAAAAAAGUAAAAAUAAAAAAAUAA